rnacentral:rRNA from 1 species
UACGUAGGCAGCAAGCGUUGUUCGGAAUUACUGGGCGUAAAGGGCGCGUAGGCGGCCUUCUAAGUCAGACGUGAAAUCCCCAGGCUUAACUUGGGAACUGCGUCUGAUACUGGGGGGCUUGAAUGCGGAAGAGGGAUGUGGAAUUCCAGGUGUAGCGGUGAAAUGCGUAGAUAUCUGAAGGAACAUCAGUGGCGAAAGCGACUUCCUGGACCAAUACUGACGCUCAUGUGCGAAAGCGUGGGGAGCAAACAGG